rnacentral:lncRNA from 1 species
CUGACUCAGAGCGAGAGUAGACUAUGUAAGAAAGUGAAUAUCAUGGGCCGGUGUCACAGCAAGGCCACUGACAGACGAACCUUCUGGCAGGAACGGAGAUGUGGUGUUGAGUCAGCUUCCACGAUGCGGAUAACACGCCACCUGAUGGCAUGGCAAAGCCCACGUCUCAGAUGACCACACGAAGCUGCUUACCAGCUUGGACUGCCUGCCAACUUGGACUUUGAAGUGAGAGAGAAAUAACAUCAUCCAGCAGCAAGUGGCAGACCUGACACAUCUCGCUUUCCGAUUUCUGCUCUGUGACCUCCCUCCAUACACUUUGACAAGGAAGAUGUCCUUACUAAAGGAGAAUGUUGUUUUUGCUCCCGAUGCUCUUGUGUAUUCUAAGAGCUCAGUAAACAUUUGAAAGUGGGAGUUCAUUCUGAGAAUUUUAUGUCCUUAUUUAGUGAAGAACCAAAACUAUGUGUCCUCCAAUGUUGAGCGCAAUCUAUCUCCAUUAUGAUGAAUGCUACAUUUUUUUGAAGUUGGGCUCUGCUUAUAUUCUGUUUUGGGGUUCUGACUCAUUUUCUUUGGAACAUAAGUCUAUUUGAGGGAUGUUAAGUUUACUGAUUGUUUUCAAAUGCAGUGUUCUCUGAGCACGUUUUCCUGUACCUUGUACAGAUGCUUACCAUCUUGCCGUCUUUAUAUAGCUUUGCUAUUCAUACUAAAAAUAGGAACACGUGCAGCUAAUAUUAAGCCAAUACUAUGGGUAUGGUCAUACUGGUUGGUAAUAAAAUAUUGAAAUAGUUCCAUAUUCCUUGGUAAACAGUGAAGACCCUAUGACCUCCGAGGUCUCCCAGCUGCUCUAGCAUCUAUGGUCCCUCCUUCAGCACCCCUGGAUAUUCCCAGUACCCAGACACCAGCAGGGAGCCUCCAGCUCUGUGACAUGAG